AAAAAAGAAGGCCCAAAUAAAACCCUUCUCCAACAAAGGAAAAACCUAACCCAAAAACCCAUUACUGCUGAAACUAACGCGCGAUGCCACCAAACCCAAAAACGAAGAUCUGUGUUAUGCUCUAGCGACUGUUCCGGCGGCGAUCUGCUCCAGCAACGAUCUCCUAUGGCAGGUUCUCCUCUGGUAGCGCGUUCUCCUCCGGCUACAAUCUCCGUGUGAGAGCAAGGUUGAUCUUCUUUCUCUCCCUCAAUUUUCUACUGUUGUCGAAAAUACCUGAAAGUUCGAAAUGGAAAAUCAAGUUGUAGAAACUUCAUAAAACUAUGAGAUCUGUUGCGCAAGUGUUUCCUCCAAUGAUCUUCUCUGGCGGUGAUCUCCUUUGGUGGCAAUCUCCUCCAUCAACGCUUCUCUUGCAUUGAUGAGAUCUGUUGCGCAAGUGUUUCCUGUGGCAUUAAGUUGUGUUCUGCGACUUCUCCAUCUCCAUCGAGCUUUGUUGAUCAUCUAGCAUCGUUAUGGACUUCUCACUAAGAGAUCCUACAAAUGGUACUUAUCUAGUUUAAGUUUGCUGAAUUCUCCGGCCAGUCUCCCAUGCAGCCAUGUCCUUUGCAGCUUUUGUAUCGUCAAAUCUGUGAAGUCACCUUCUGAUUGCCCUGUCUAUAAACUACCCUUCUUCCCUAGAGUUUAUUGACAUUUAGUUACCUGGCAUAUGAAGAAAGGCAAUGUCAAGUUGAUGCUGAAUGUGGAAGAAAGGAUGCUACUCGCAGUCAUCAAAAUCAUGCUUAAAAGAGACGAACGACUAAAUGACAUUGUUGGGAGUGCAUAUUAUGUUGCACCAGAGGUACUUCAUAGGUCAGAUAGUGUGAAAGCAGAUAUAUGGAACCAAAGGUACUCUAAAGCGAGCAACAGAGCAGUGUAAUCUUUUUUUAUGGAGAUUUGAUGUAUUAAGAACUACAGGUUAAGAUAUUUAUAAUUAAAAAAUAAUGUUAUGUUAGAUACUUUAUUUGUAUAGAGGUUAUUACUUUUGAUUUUCAAUACUAAAAAAUCAUAUAUUAUGUUUAA